AUGAACGCUAGCUACAGGCUUAACACAUGCAAGUCGAGGGGCAUCGGGAAGAAAGCUUGCUUUCUUUGCUGGCGACCGGCGCACGGGUGAGUAACACGUAUCCAACCUGCCCUUUACUCGGGGAUAGCCUUUCGAAAGAAAGAUUAAUACCCGAUGGCAUAAUGAUUCCGCAUGGUUUCAUUAUUAAAGGAUUCCGGUAAAGGAUGGGGAUGCGUUCCAUUAGGUUGUUGGUGAGGUAACGGCUCACCAAGCCUUCGAUAGAUAGGGGUUCUGAGAGGAAGGUCCCCCACAUUGGAACUGAGACACGGUCCAAACUCCUACGGGAGGCAGCAGUGAGGAAUAUUGGUCAAUGGGCGCUAGCCUGAACCAGCCAAGUAGCGUGAAGGAUGAAGGCUCUAUGGGUCGUAAACUUCUUUUAUAUAAGAAUAAAGUGCAGUAUGUAUACUGUUUUGUAUGUAUUAUAUGAAUAAGGAUCGGCUAACUCCGUGCCAGCAGCCGCGGUAAUACGGAGGAUCCGAGCGUUAUCCGGAUUUAUUGGGUUUAAAGGGAGCGUAGGUGGACUGGUAAGUCAGUUGUGAAAGUUUGCGGCUCAACCGUAAAAUUGCAGUUGAUACUGUCAGUCUUGAGUACAGUAGAGGUGGGCGGAAUUCGUGGUGUAGCGGUGAAAUGCUUAGAUAUCACGAAGAACUCCGAUUGCGAAGGCAGCUCACUGGACUGCAACUGACACUGAUGCUCGAAAGUGUGGGUAUCAAACAGGAUUAGAUACCCUGGUAGUCCACACAGUAAACGAUGAAUACUCGCUGUUUGCGAUAUACAGUAAGCGGCCAAGCGAAAGCAUUAAGUAUUCCACCUGGGGAGUACGCCGGCAACGGUGAAACUCAAAGGAAUUGACGGGGGCCCGCACAAGCGGUGGAGCAUGUGGUUUAAUUCGAAGCAACGCGAAGAACCUUACCAGGUCUUGACAUCGAUCUAAAGGCUCCAGAGAUGGAGAGAUAGCUAUAGAGAAGACAGGUGGUGCAUGGUUGUCGUCAGCUCGUGUCGUGAGAUGUUGGGUUAAGUCCCGCAACGAGCGCAACCCUUAUCUUCAGUUACUAACAGGUCAUGCUGAGGACUCUGGAGAGACUGCCGUCGUAAGAUGUGAGGAAGGUGGGGAUGACGUCAAAUCAGCACGGCCCUUACGUCCGGGGCUACACACGUGUUACAAUGGGGGGUACAGAAGGCAGCUAGCGGGUGACCGUAUGCUAAUCCCAAAAUCCUCUCUCAGUUCGGAUCGAAGUCUGCAACCCGACUUCGUGAAGCUGGAUUCGCUAGUAAUCGCGCAUCAGCCACGGCGCGGUGAAUACGUUCCCGGGCCUUGUACACACCGCCCGUCAAGCCAUGGGAGCCGGGGGUACCUGAAGUACGUAACCGCAAGGAUCGUCCUAGGGUAAAACUGGUGACUGGGGCU
rnacentral:rRNA from 1 species